CUCUUUCAAAAAACGUCUUUAAUACACAAAAACGUACAGAAUAUAAACAUCAAUAGUAUUCAUGUAUUAAACAAAUAGCACAUGUACUUAUAAACACAAUUUCUCGCCCAUCGUUUUUUUAAAGCACCAAUUCACUGACAUCAUUCCUUGAGAUUAUAAAAGUUUACUAGCGUUAGUCUGACCAAUCAAUCAAAAACCUAAAUAAUUAUAUUCCUAAUUGUGCCUAUAUUCUAAUUACCCAUAAUUCAUUAAGAAUCUCCUCGACUCCCUCUUGUUUAUGACCCUGUUUAUGUUGGCUCCAGAUAGAAGUCGCCCUUAGGUACAGAUCUAGGAUCAGUUUUCCCUCACCCAAAGGACAAUGCAACAACGUCUCCUCUUCACCCCCUGCUGACAUCACCAAUUCAAGUCCUUAUCCAGUCAUUAGGCAGAAUAGUCUAUGUAAUAUUAUGUCAAAUAGGGUCUGUUUCAUACAUGUACACAUGUGGAGGCCAGUAGGAGUGUGUUUCAUCCCCCUGAGACCCUCUCAGACAGUGAGGUUACAGAUCAGCCACGUGUGGUGGCCAGUGGGAGUGUGUUUCAUCCCCCUGAGACCCUCUCAGACAGUGAGGUUACAGAUCAGCCACGUGUGGUGGCCAGUAGGAGUGUGUUUCACAUGUUUCCCAUGACAAUAAAGCCCCUUGGAUUGAAUUAAGAGAGAGAGAGAGAGAGACAGACACACAGAGAGAGACACAGAGAGAGACACAGAGAGAGAGAGAGAGACACAGAGAGAGAGACACACAGAGAGAGACACACAGAGAGAGACACAGAGAGAGACACAGAGAGAGAGAGAGAGAGAGAGAGAGAGAGACACAGAGAGAGAGACACAGAGAGAGACACAGAGAGAGAGACACAGAGAGAGACACAGAGAGAGAGAGAGAGAGACACACAGAGAGAGAGACACAGAGAGAGACACACAGAGAGACAGAGAGAGAGAGACACACAGAGAGAGACACACAGAGAGAGACACACAGAGAGAGACACAGAGAGAGAGAGAGAGAGAGAGAGAGAGAGAGAGAGAGAGAGAGAGAAAGAGAGGGAGAGAGAGAGAGAGAGAGAGAGAGAGAGAGAGAGAGAGGGAGAAAGAGAGGGAGAGAGAGAGAGAGAUAGGGAGAAAGAGAGGGAGAGAGAGGAAGAAAGUAUAGUGGAGUAACUUGUUAAAGGUCUGUGUGUGUCUGCACCUGUAUAACUCCUGGAACACUAACAACUGGUCCUUCCAUUAAACCAGUUGUGCUUUACAAACUAUCCCUCUGAUACACUGAGUAGGCAGCCUUUCCCUUUAACAAACUGGAACUGGUUUAUACUGUGUAACACAGUGAGGGGAAUAGACAAACACUACAGCUUGGUUGGAGGUAGAAACCAGAGCUGUGUUACCCCCUGUCUUUGACCCUGUGUGAUUAAGUCCCUGAUACAUGCAUACCAUUACUCAACCUCUAUUUCUAGUCCUUCCUCUCUCUCUCUCUCUCUCUCUCUCUCUCUCUCUCUCUCUCCUCUUUCUCUCUCUCUCUCUCUCUCCUUUCAGGCCCUCUCUGUGUGUGUUUGUGUUGGCAACAGCCUCUUAAGUGCGGUAGGUAAAAUCCCUACAUCCAACAAGCCUGCCAAGAAAGCCACACACACACACACACACGUGCGGGCACGCCAAACACACAAAGAGAGAAGGAGAGCCAAGAAAGCUUCACUCAGCUCAACCUCAGGGGGGAGAAGCUUUAGAAAACCCCAGGUCCUUUCUCCUCCCACACAAUAAGAUGUGCUGCUGUUACUGUACGUUAGUCGUUGUUAUCAUGCAGCUCUUACUAAUAUACUGUGUCUGAAAGGAGGAUCACAUUUACAUAUCUGGUUUACUUUAGGCCAGAGAAUGUUCCCACAGGAAAAACAACGCUGUUUUACAGGAGUCGGCAGCUCUUCCUCAGUUCAUGCUACUCUACUGUAAUGUUUACAUUAGUUAGUUAGUUUGUUAGUUUACACUAGAAAGGGCCGAUCUUAGAGAUGUCCUAACUUGAGGGGUCAUGACCCCACUCUCCCAUCUGGGAUACAUUCUCAAAGACUUUCUGCCUUACCCUUUCUAUCUUUCUAUUUCCCUCUCUCCUUCUCUCUCAUGAGAAUGCAGUCUCCUCUCGCUCUCUUCCAUUCACCCCUUUCUCCCUUUCUCUCAUCCUCCUUCUUUCUCCUUCUCUCUCAUCCUCCUUCUUUCCCUCUCCUUUUACCCCUUUUCGCUCCCUAUUUUUCUGUCCUCUCUACUAUUCUCAUCUCCCUCUCUGUCUCCUUCUUUCCCCUUCUCUCAGGGUAGUUCGGUCAGUCAGAGGUCUGGUUGUCAUUAGCUUCCUGUUACUGACUUAAAGAAAAACAGCCCCGACAGAGAGAGAGAGGGACGUACGGACAGACAGACAGAGAGAGAGAGAGAGAGAGAGAGAGAGGGAGGGACGGAAGGACAGAGGAUGAGAGAGAGAGGGAGAGAGAGAGCAAAAGAGGGAGGUCAGGGAGAGACAGAGAGAGACAGAGAUGGAGAGAGAGGGAGAGAGAGCAAGAGAGGGAGAGGAAGAGCAAGAGAGAGGGAGAGGAAGAGCAAGAGAGGGAGAGGAAGAGCAAGAGAGAGGGAGAGGAAGAGCAAGAGAGAGGGAGAGGAAGGAAGAGAGAGAGAGAG
ensembl:lncRNA